rnacentral:lncRNA from 1 species
UUUUUUUUUUUUUUUUUUUUGUCUUUUGUCUUCUGUCCUUUUUUAGGGCCACACCCAUGGCAUAUGGAGAUUCCCAGGCUAGGGGUCUAAUUGGAGCUGUAGCUGCCAGCCUACACCACAGCCACAGCCACAGCAACACCAGAUCCAAGCCGCAUCUGCGACCUACACUACAGCUCACAGCAACGCCAGAUCCUUAACCCACUGAGCAGGGCAGGGAUCAAACCACAACCUUAUGCUUCCUAGUUGGAUUCAUUUCCACUGCGCCACGACAGGAACUCCCAUUAUCUCAUUUAAUUAGUGAAGUAGACAUUAACAAUUCCCAUCUUCCAGAUGGAGAAACUGGAACCUGAAGAGGUUAUUUAACCUGUUCAGGAAUGACAGCUCUUAAGUGGGAAGGCAAGAUACCAACCCAACUAUCCGUGACCCCAAAGCCCUCAUCUUAACCACUCCCUGCCUCUAUCGGCUCAAUAUUCUCACUCACUCACUCAACCUGAUCGCAAAAGCAUUUUGUUUACAUAUCUAAGUAAUGUUUUAUUUUGAGAUACUUUUGGACAAACAGAAAUUUUGCAAAAGCAAUAUGAAUAAUCCCCAUAUACCCUCCAUCCACGUGCCCCCAGAUAUUGAUCUUUUAUUGCUAGGAGUAAAUAUCACUUUGCAUUUUCUGACCCUGUUUGUAUGUCCUGUUGGACUUAAAUUUUCACGGGUUUUUUGGGGGAUUGCAGACUCUUGCUGAAGGCAAGGAGAAGAAGCAAUGUGGCAGCUGGCUGGUGGGCAGCAGGCUACACUGACCAUGAGGGAACCCUGAUCUCCUUGAAUAGACUGCUGACUCCCAGCCCCCCCAGAGGACAAGAGGGUCAUCCAGUGACUCGUCUAAUGGGGAGGCUUCUGAGGAAUGUCCCAGACGCCAGGCUUGAGAGAUUCAUUAGCUACAAAGGAUGUCUAAACAAGGGAAACAUUAGCAAUGACAGGCCCUCAGAAUAAUUCCACCUCUCCCUCUCGUGAGCUGUCAGUUCAGGGCAGAAAGACUUAACUAUGAACCUACUAUGCAUCAGGCACUAAACAUUAAGUACUGGAGAAAAUGAUAAUGUUGUCAGUGAUGCUGCCUCAGAAAAAAAUGAGAUGAGUGACUAGAAAAGACAAGGGAGCCUUGGUAGGAAUCUCCCCCUGGUAGUCGAUCAGGGACCCUCAAUUGGGGAAAAACCUCAAUUUAUUUUGGAAACAAAAUUUGGAAGCUGGGGGUGGGGAAGAGAGGCAAAGGGAAGAUGGGGCAAGUUCCUGCAUGAAAACAAGGCAAUCCAGCUCAGUUCCCUGCAGAAGCUGGUGGUCCCUGGGCCAGGGGGGAGGCGCAGCUCAGAGGGAAAGGAGGCCCUGUGAGGUGGCCAGAGAAGCAAGGGUGCCAGAAUAGUGCAGGGUUUUUGGUUUGGGUUCUUUUUUGGCUGCACCCGCGACACAUGAAAAUUCCUAGGCCAGGGAUUGAACCCUCAACGCAAUAGUGACCCAAGCUGCUGCAGUGGCAAUGCCAGAUUCUUAACAUGCCGCAUCACACUAGAACUCCCAGAAUAACGCAGUUUUAAAGGGCAUAACCUAAGAGCAAUGCAGACAGAGCCCCAGUUUAACUGCCACACAAACCUCUAGACCAUAAAAAGAUGAGAGGACUUGACAAAUGCUUCUGGGACAAUACCUGCCUACAGAGCAGAGGGCAGAGUCAUGGAGGGCCCUCCCACCCCCAGGAUCAUUCACUGUACCUAUAAGCCUGCUUGGUCCUUUCCCCUGCAGGCUCUCCGUGCUCCCCUCAUGUCCCCUCAUGCACACAGCCACUGACCCAGAAACCCCCAGGGGGACCUGCUGAGGCUCUCAAGUUGGACAGAUCUGGAUUCAAGUCCCAACUCUGUUACGAAUCGGUUGGAAGACCACUUAACUAACCUCUCUGAGCCUCGGCUUCUCAUCUGGAAAGAGCAGGGAUGAUACCCUUUCAUAAAGUUAAUGUGAUGAGAGAAGGAGCUUAUGCGCAUAAAGUGCCCAAGCUGGCUCCUGGCAAGCAGUCUUCUUCCUGACUUCUCAGGCUGCUUUUCCCACCUACCUGCCUGCCCUUCACCUCUGAUGACACUGGUGGCCAAUCUGCUGCCCCCUCCUUGUCCAUUUUUUCCAGGUUAUGGUAGAAACAGACCAAGGAGCCUGAAGACUUAGGUUGGACUCUUAGAUCUGCCACUUAACAGCCGUGUGACUUUAGACAAGUCACUUAGCCUCUGUGAUCUCCAGGUUUCCUACUCUCGAAAUGGACAGUAUAUCUCCCUCAAAUGAGAUAGUGUAGGGAACGGCUUCGUAAGGGUCAAAGUACUUUAUGAGAUUCAGCUGAUGUUUUGCUGCCCUUCUCAUCUCCCCCCACAAUUCUCUCACUCCUCACCCUCCAUCCCCUAACAUCAAGCCCAACUUGGAAGAAGGAGCACCAAACACGGAGUUAGGAGCUAUGAGUUCGGGUCCGAGCUCCACUGUUAACUUUGGGUCCUUCUGCAAAUCAUGAUCUUCCCAGGGCCUAGUUUUGUGUCUGAAUAGACUGUCUCUCAUGGCCUCUCCUACCUGAGGUUCCACAGAGUUGCUGAAGGGGUCGGGAGUUUUUUUUCAGACAGAAAUUCAGUUGGGCUUGGAGGACAUCACUGCUUCUGUGCACAGCUCUGCUCUCAUCACAUUUUUGUAUUAAUACAGCUGAGAUCAGGCACUUCUGGGUCAUGUGUAAGCCCGAGGGUGUCUCCAAUACUCAGUUUAGGGUAAUUAGUCUUUUUGACCCUUAGCAGGGGAAAUGUCUCCAGUUGGGGGGAAGUGAAGUUGUCAAACACAGUCCUUAAGGAGAGGGAGAUUUAUAGGAGAUCACAUACAAAAGCACAGGAAUUAAACAAACAAACAGGGAAAGAGCACUUAAACGCUCAGACCAAACAAUAUAUACCGCACGCUAUGCUCAGGCAGGUCAACCAGUGGUCUGAGGUCUCCACAAGCACCACCCAGGCGUAACAGCCCAGACAAUUGUUCAUCUUCCAAGACGCCCUUCCCAGAAACCAAAGGGUGGCCGGAAGGUAAAACCAAUGACGUCAUCGAGGGGGAGAAAUGGCAGUGGUCAGUACAGUCCUUUAAUGACCAUUUUGUUUCUUAAAACUUGCCUUAGUGUAGCCCAAGCUGAGGGCCCUGCUCUCUGACCCAUUCCUCCUCGUGGUGCCCGGCUCCUGGACUCCCCCCCAGGGAGAGGGAGAUUUAUAGGAGCCAGGGUCCCUCUGGCUCUGCUGCCCCCUUGGUCCUCUUUCAGGCAGGGUCUCCAUAAAAUACAGGAUGCAAGUGAAAUUCAAAUUUCAGCUAAGCCACAAAUACUUUUUAAAGCGUAAGUAUGUCCCAUGGGAUAUCUGGGAUCUACUUAUGCUAAACAUUUGUCAUGGUUUAGUUGAAAUUUAAACUUAAGUGGGCAUCAUGUAUUUUUACUUGCUAAAUCUGGUAACACACUAUCAAGGCAUUAAAAAAAAUUUUUUUAAAUCUCUGCCCAGAACAUAACACCCCUAAAUCUUCCCUUGAUCAGCUCCAUGUCAUUCAAGCUCCACUAAAGUGUCCCCUCCUUAGAGAGACACUUUGACCCUCCCCUCCAGUAUAAGGUGGCCGCCCUCCCGCAUAGUGCCUUUCUAGCACAUUCCCCUGCAUUACCUCACUCUGAAAUGAGUCUGCUUAGCUGUUUUCUUACUUAAUAUCUAUUUUCUCCAGCUAGAAGGACAGACUUGCUAUGUUUUCCCCAAAUCACUCUCCAUCACCUGAAUGUACCUGGCACAGGCCAAGCAUUUAAUAAGUACUGGCCGAAUGGAUGAGUAGAACAUAUGUUUUAGAGCAGUGCAUCACAAACUUUAAUGAAAACCCUAGAGAGUUUGUUCAAUUUUGUUAAAAUCCAGAUUUUGAUUCUGCAGGUUGGGCACGGGCCUGAGGCUGGGCAUUUCUAACAAGCUCCCAGUGAUGCUGCUGGUCCACAGAUGACACUUUAAGAGGCAACAGAGUACUCUGCGAUGAUGGCAGUGUUCUUUCUACAUCUACCCUAUCCAGUAUGGCAGUCACUAACCCCAUGUGGUUAUUGAGUACUUGAAAUGUGGCUAGUGUGAUUAAGGAAUUUUGCUUCAUUUAAAUUUUGACUUAAUUUUACUUAAUUAAGUUUAAAUGGCACAGCAAGAUGCUGGGGAGUUCCUGUUGUGGUGCAGUGGUUAACGAAUCCAACCAGGAACCAUGAGGUUGUGGGUUCGGUCCCUGGCCUUGCUCAGUGGGUUAAGGACUCGGUGUUGCCGUGAGCUGUGGUGUAGGUUGCAGACGCGGUUCAGAUCCCGUGUUGCCGUGGCUCUGGUGUAGGACAGCGGCUCCAGCUCCGAUUCGACCCCUAGCCUGGGAACCUCAUAUGCCAUGGGUGCGGCCCUAGAAAAGGCAAAAAGAC